GGGUCGGUAGUCUAGCUUGGUAUGAUUCUUGCUUGGGGUGCAAGAGACCGGGAGUUCAAACGACUUGGGAAGUCCCUGUCGGAACAAGUCUCCCCCGGCCCACCA
rnacentral:tRNA from 1 species